UACCUGCGGAGGGAUCAUUACCGAGUUUACAACUCCCAAACCCCUGUGAACAUACCUAUACGUUGCCUCGGCGGAUCAGCCCGCGCCCCGUAAAACGGGACGGCCCGCCCGAGGACCCCUAAACUCUGUUUUUAGUGGAACUUCUGAGUAAAACAAACAAAUAAAUCAAAACUUUCAACAACGGAUCUCUUGGUUCUGGCAUCGAUGAAGAACGCAGCAAAAUGCGAUAAGUAAUGUGAAUUGCAGAAUUCAGUGAAUCAUCGAAUCUUUGAACGCACAUUGCGCCCGCCAGUAUUCUGGCGGGCAUGCCUGUUCGAGCGUCAUUUCAACCCUCAAGCUCAGCUUGGUGUUGGGACUCGCGGUAACCCGCGUUCCCCAAAUCGAUUGGCGGUCACGUCGAGCUUCCAUAGCGUAGUAAUCAUACACCUCGUUACUGGUAAUCGUCGCGGCCACGCCGUUAAACCCCAACUUCUGAAUGUUGACCUCGGAUCAGGUAGGAAUACCCGCUGAACUUAAGCAUAUCAAUA
rnacentral:rRNA from 1 species